CAUUUUUGAGUGCCUAU
rnacentral:rRNA from 4 species